UACGUAUGGUGCAAGCGUUAUCCGGAUUUACUGGGUGUAAAGGGAGCGUAGGCGGUGUGCCAAGUCAGAUGUGAAAGCCCGGGGCUCAACCCCGGUAUUGCAUUUGAAACUGGCAUACUUGAGUAUCGGAGAGGUAAGUGGAAUUCCUAGUGUAGCGGUGAAAUGCGUAGAUAUUAGGAGGAACACCAGUGGCGAAGGCGGCUUACUGGACGAUAACUGACGCUGAGGCUCGAAAGCGUGGGGAGCAAACAGGAUUAGAUACC
rnacentral:rRNA from 1 species